CUUGAGCGAGAGAGAAGCACCCACAUGUCCACUCACGCCGGGAAGAUGGCCGCGAAGGAAAGGUUCUGGAAGCGGAAGCUGAAGCUGAACAAAAUGUUCAUCUGUAUACAAGGACUUGCAGGAUGCAGCUAAAGUGUUUGGAUUAUACCACUAACAAGUGGCUUAGGUCCUACAUUUCUGAAUGCCCAGGCUUUGAUAUGAGGCAUAGAGCAUGGAAUUAAAGGUGUGGUCCAUGUGGAAAGAAUUGGAAAACUUUCAAUGUAAAUUUUGAAGACCGUCUGUCUGUUUGAUAGAUGGCAAGAUGACUUUCCUUGAACUUGGAGGAUCUCUCCCAUGUUUCAACUCCUUGAGAAACUAUAGAAAGGGAGGCUGAAUGUGCAGCUAAGGACCUUGCUGGAGUGAAUGUUGUGGAUACAUACUUUGGGAAAGCCGAUAUGAGCUGGCACUGUAGGUGUCCUGUGGCAGCAAGCAAGUACAGGUCAAUGUGGCCAGAUUUUUAGAUUAAACAAGUUGCUGCUUCAGUGAAGACCCUGUAAUGAAGUUGCUCCUGACUGCUGACCAGUACAGAUUUUGGAUGGAAGAUGCUCUAUCACCACUGCAGAAAAUAGACCAGAGAAUCCUUUCCUCAAAGGUUUGUGCUAAACCAGAUGCUGAAAGCUGCAGUUCAUAAGAUAGAAGAUGGAACAAAUGAUUUCUUGACUGUUCCGUUAUGCAUCAGGCCCUGUGUGUAGAUCCAUCCCAGUUGUAUGUCGCAGGAAUGGGGUAUAAUAAGGUUUCAGAUGGAGUUGCUGUAGAUGUAUCAUAUGCUGAGAUCCUGGCAGUGGCUGGCAAGGCUGUGAAUCCUGUUCUGGAAAUGCCUUACAUUUGAUGUUAGUCUUUAGAAGAUUUGAGGAGACAAUGCCAACCAGGAUAUUUCAGUGUUGGAACAGUUUGUACCGACAUUGCUUCAGAUGCUCAAGGCUCUGGCAGUCCUUUUUUUCCACUGCUUGUAAAGUUAACAAAGGUCUUGGUAACCUCUAGACUGGUUGAAGAUUCUGAAUAAAUGUUCAUAAAUUAU